GAUGAAGAACGCAGCGAAAUGCGAUAAGUAAUGUGAAUUGCAGAAUUCAGUGAAUCAUCGAAUCUUUGAACGCACAUUGCGCCCGCCAGUAUUCUGGCGGGCAUGCCUGUUCGAGCGUCAUUACAACCCUCAGGCCCCCGGGCCUGGCGUUGGGGAUCGGCGGAGCCCCCCGUGGGCACACGCCGUCCCCCAAAUGCAGUGGCGGUCCCGCCGCAGCUUCCAUCGCGUAGUAGCUAACACCUCGCGACUGGAGAGCGGCGCGGCCACGCCGUAAAACACCCAACUCUUCUGAAGUUGACCUCGAAUCAGGUAGGAAUACCCGCUGAACUUAAGCAUAUCAAUAAACGGAGGA
rnacentral:misc_RNA from 1 species